rnacentral:rRNA from 1 species
GGGUAGCAAUACCGCUGACGACCGGCGCACGGGUGAGUAACACGUAUCCAACCUACCAUUCAUACGGGGAUAGCCUUUCGAAAGAAAGAUUAAUACCCGAUAGUAUAGCGAUAAGGCAUCUUAUUGCUAUUAAAGAAUUUCGGUGUUUGAUGGGGAUGCGUUCCGUUAGAUUGUUGGUGAGGUAACGGCUCACCAAGUCUUCGAUGGAUAGGGGUUCUGAGAGGAAGGUCCCCCACAUUGGAACUGAGACACGGUCCAAACUCCUACGGGAGGCAGCAGUGAGGAAUAUUGGUCAAUGGACGAGAGUCUGAACCAGCCAAGUAGCGUGAAGGAUGAAGGCCCUAUGGGUCGUAAACUUCUUUUAUAGGGGAAUAAAGUGCGGAACGUGUUCCGUUUUGUAUGUACCCUACGAAUAAGGAUCGGCUAACUCCGUGCCAGCAGCCGCGGUAAUACGGAGGAUCCGAGCGUUAUCCGGAUUUAUUGGGUUUAAAGGGAGCGUAGGUGGACGUAUAAGUCAGUUGUGAAAGUUUGCGGCUCAACCGUAAAAUUGCAGUUGAUACUGUAUGUCUUGAGUGUACAAGAGGUGGGCGGAAUUCGUGGUGUAGCGGUGAAAUGCUUAGAUAUCACGAAGAACUCCGAUUG